rnacentral:rRNA from 1 species
UAAAAUUUAAAUUAUUAAUACUAAAAUAGUAGAUAAUUAUUUAUUGAAACUUAAAUAAUUUGGCGGUAUUUUAGUUCAUUUAGAGGAAUCUGUUUAAUAAUUGAUAAUCCACGAAUAAAUUUACUUAAUUUAAAAUUUUGUAUAUCGUUGUUAAAAAAAUAUUUUUUAAUAAUAUUAAUAUUUAAUAAUUAUAAUAAAAAUUUAAAUCAGAUCAAGAUGCAGAUUAUAAUUAAGAAUAUAAUGGAUUACAAUAAAUUUAUUUAAAUGAAUAUUAAAUUUGUAAUAAUUAAUUGAAAUUGGAUUUAAAUGUAAUUUUAUUUAGUUUAAUAAAAUGAUUAUAAAUUAAAAUAUGU